rnacentral:tRNA from 1 species
GUCCUUGUAGUUCAACGGAUAGAACAACUCCCUCCUAAGGAGUAGAUCCAGGUUCGAUUCCUGGUGAGGACACCA